rnacentral:rRNA from 1 species
GACGAACGCUGGCGGCGUGCUUAACACAUGCAAGUCGAACGGAAAGGCCCUGCUUUUGUGGGGUGCUCGAUUGGCGAACGGGUGAGUAACACGUGAGUAUCCUGCCCUUGACUUUGGGAUAACUUCAGGAAACUGGGGCUAAUACCGGAUAGGAGCUCCUGCUGCAUGGUGGGGGUUGGAAAGUUUCGGCGGUUGGGGAUGGACUCGCGGCUUAUCAGCUUGUUGGUGGGGUAGUGGCUUACCAAGGCUUUGACGGGUAGCCGGCCUGAGAGGGUGACCGGCCACAUUGGGACUGAGAUACGGCCCAGACUCCUACGGGAGGCAGCAGUGGGGAAUAUUGCACAAUGGGCGGAAGCCUGAUGCAGCAACGCCGCGUGCGGGAUGACGGCCUUCGGGUUGUAAACCGCUUUCGCCUGUGACGAAGCGUGAGUGACGGUAAUGGGUAAAGAAGCACCGGCUAACUACGUG